AGAAAAGUAACCGCCGCCCCGCGCAGGGGCGACGCUAACAGACCGAAAACAUUACAGGUGCUUCACGAAAAACACUGACCGUCCACCCAACAAACUCAGUCCUUGUUCACGCGCUCGACGAGCGCCCC
rnacentral:sRNA from 1 species